rnacentral:rRNA from 1 species
GUACACUCCUGCGGGAAGCAGCAGUGGGGAAUCUUGCGCAAUGGGCGAAAGCCUGACGCAGCCAUGCCGCGUGAAUGAUGAAGGUCUUAGGAUUGUAAAAUUCUUUCACCGGGGACGAUAAUGACGGUACCCGGAGAAGAAGCCCCGGCUAACUUCGUGCCAGCAGCCGCGGUACUACGAAGGGGGCUAGCGUUGCUCGGAAUUACUGGGCGUAAAGGGAGCGUAGGCGGACAUUUAAGUCAGGGGUGAAAUCCCGGGGCUCAACCUCGGAAUUGCCUUUGAUACUGGGUGUCUUGAGUAUGAGAGAGGUGUGUGGAACUCCGAGUGUAGAGGUGAAAUUCGUAGAUAUUCGGAAGAACACCAGUGGCGAAGGCGACACACUGGCUCAUUACUGACGCUGAGGCUCGAAAGCGUGGGGAGCAAACAGGAUUAGAAACCCCGGUAGUCCCA